rnacentral:lncRNA from 1 species
GGCGGCUAGCCUGCAGGACAUAUAUUUUGCCAUCUAAACUUCAGAGGCAAUAUAUGUGUGAACUGCAUGUUGCUUUUGUUUCUUAUGGAAACAGUGGAUUUUUUGCAACCACGUCUUUUGUAUUAAAAAACGUUCAACUUCGUCCUGUUAAUUGUACAAUGUCUUUUCAUAUAAGUUAUGUUGAAUGUAUAUAAAAACCAAGCUGCUUAUCUUACCGACCCCUUUCACUCAUCUAACCCUCUGUUAUAUAGAAUUGUCAAGAAAAAGAAGUUAAUUGUGAUGAAAAAUGACCUCAGGCACAGAGAGCUGUAAAUGGAACUUGGGGCCAUCAUAGUGGUAGAGUAUGCACUGCAGGAAGCUAUGCACUUACUUCAACAGGAGGUUGAAAGAGCUCAAGCAAAGAAUUCCAAUCUCAAGAAAGGUAAAUUUUUUAGAAUCCUUCAGACAUUAAAAAUUUAGUAUUGUUAAGUAAGCUGUUGAAAUGUUAAUACUUUCUUAACAUGGGUGGUCUCUGGAAUUUGGUACUAAACUACAACAACAACAACAACAACAAAGCCUUUUCCAACUAAGUGGGGUCGGCUAUAUGAAUCCUAGAAUGCCAUUGCGCUCGGUUUUGUGUCAUGUCCUCCGUUAGAUCCAAGUACUCUAAGUCUUUUCUUAGGGUCUCUUCUAAAGUUUUCCUAGGUCUUCCUCUACCCCUUCGGCCCCGAACCUCUGUUCCGUAGUCACAUCUUCGAACCGGAGCGUCAGUAGGCCUUCUUUGCACAUGUCCAAACCACCGUAACCGAUUUUCUCUCAUCUUUCCUUCAACUUCGGCUACUCCUACUUUACCUCGGAUAUCCUCAUUCACAAUCUUAUCCUUUCUCGUGUGCCCACACAUCCCACGAAGUAUCCUUAUCUCCGCUACACCCAUUUUGUGUACGUGUUGAUGCUCACCGCCCAACAUUCUGUGCCAUACAACAUCGCUGGCCUUAUUGCCGUCCUAUAAAAUUUUCCCUUGAGCUUCAGUGACCUACGACGGUCACACAACAUGCCGGAUGCACUCUUACACUUCAUCCAUCCAGCUUGUAUUCUAUGGUUGAGAUCUCCAUCUAAUUCUCCGUUCUCUUGCAAGAUAGAUCCUAGGUAGCGAAAACGGUCGCUUUUUGUGAUCUUCGCUAGAUUGCUCCGGUCAUUAGUGUGGAUAAGUAUAUAAAUGGAUAGAGAUAGGAAAGCAAACACCAGAUGUACGUGGUUCACCCAUAUUGGCUACGUCCACGAAAUAGAGGAGUUCUCAUUAAUUGUGAAGGGUUUACACAAGUACAUAGGUUCAAGCUCUCUUUUAGUGAGUACAAGUGAAUGAUUUAGUACAAAUGACAUUAGGAAAUAUUGUGGGAGAAUGAUCUCGUAAUCACGAAACUUCUAAGUACCGGAGUGUGGUAUCGUCUUGACUUGCCUUAUCUGUCUCGUAGGUAGAUGUGGCAUCUUCUCUGGAAGUACUCUUCCUCCAUCCAGGGGUGGUAUCUUUAACUGAUGGAGAUGCACAAGGUAAUGUAUCAAUUUCACUUGAAGCUUACUUGUAGUUUCAGGCUUGGUCAAGCGCGAUACAAACCAUGUAGUAGGAGUCAUCCCAAGUCGCCGAGCUAGGGGAUCUGCUGAAAGAGGGUGACAGACAAGGUAAGCAAUCAGAGCUCCAAGCAAUCAGUCCCAGAUCAGAACUUUGAUUUCGAGUUCCGGCUGAUUGUUCACAUUCUCCCUAUCUUGCAGGCAGCAUGAAGGAUAAAGAGAAGAAAAAUGAGAAGAGAUGAUAUGGGAUACUUUUGCUUUUGAAGAAGUAACUUUCCACAAGGCUUAUUCUUGAACUGGGCUGGAGGGUUUUCUGGUUUCCUCCAGAGUAUAAGGCCGACUGAAGAAUUUGAGGGUCAAAACAAGUCCAUCAAAUCUAGAGUACGUUCGACCCUGCUGAUAUGGGAUACUUUUGCUUUUGACAGAAGUAGUGGAUGUAUCGGCACGUGUGCUGUUACGCUUGUCUCCACAUGCUUCCUUGUAUCCUUCUCACUUGCCCUAUAUGUUCCUCAGGCAGAUGCGGUAUCUUCCCUGGAAGCAUAAGAUGUUGAAGAUGAGUACUCGAGAGCAAUGUCCAGGUAAGUAAUCAAGGUAAGGGGUUCCAGGCAGUCAGUUCCUGACUGGAAGCUUGAUUCCAAGUGUUGACUGAUUGCUCUCUUUCUCCUUGUCUUGCAGGUAAGAACAAGGCCAAAGGAAAAGACAGGGAAAAAACAUGAUAUGGGAUACUCUUGCUUUUAACCCUGAUGAUAUGAGAUAUUCUUGCUCUAGUGUAGCUUGUUUGCAGAGGUAUUAUCGGGGGGAAAGAAAGCUGAAUAUUUCGAAAGGCUUCGUUGGGAGUGCCCUCUCAGAUAUGAGGAAGGGUUGAGCAUUUUUGCAGGUCUGCCUGUCCGUUGAGGAUGGAGGUCAACAUAUAUAGGAGUCUCCCUAACAACAAGUAGUAAUGCUAUUCCUUUACCCUGCUUGGUCAUAACACGGUAGUGGGAGCUGCCAGCUUCACAUGUUUUAACUCUGUCAGAGCACUUUGAAAAAGUGGUCUGUGGUAUCUGGAAAGCUGAUGUUGCGUGUGAAGAUUACAGACAAGCUUUAUCCAAGGAGAUCUGGCUCUUGAAGUUGGGAAAGUGGUGCUUCUUCGGUUUUCGAACAAGAAAUCCUAUCGGAGAUCUGGCUCUCGAGAUUCGGAGAACGAUGCCUUUUCGAUUUUUGAGAAAGCAAUCCUGCUAGGGGUCUGGCUCUCGAGAUUCAGAGAGUGGUGUCUCUUCGAUUUUUGAGAAAGUAAUCAUGUUGGGAGUCUGACUCUUGAGAUUCGGAGGGCGGUGCCUCUUCGAUUUUGGAGCAAGCAAUUUUGUUGGGAGUGUUUUCUCGAAUGUGAGUAAAGGUUGGGCAUGUUUGCUAGUCUAUCCUUGCCACGAAGCACAGAGGUUGACACACAGGGACUUUCCAAUUAUCCAGCAGUGGUACUGUUCCUUUACCCUUGUGGGUAAUAAUAUGGUAGCUAGACCUUCAAAAUUUAUGUGUCUAAACUUUGUUAGUGCUGUUUCUUUGCUAUUCUGUUACCCUUCUUGGUCAGAGCGGUGUAGUGGGAGCUGCAAGCUUCACGUGUCUCAACUUUGUCAGAGAACUUUGGCAAAGUUAUCUGUGGUACCCAUGAGCUAAUGUUGCGUGUGGGAAGUGGGUGAUUGAACAGUAAGAUUCAUGUGCUUUCUACUUCACCAGAAAUCUUCGACAGAAUGCCCAUAAUUUCCGCAAAGCUGACAGUGGUGCUGACAAGGCUGGAAAAGUAGGUGCCUCUUCGAUUUUUGAGAUCGGCCUUCGUGGUCUUUGAGCAGCCCAACUUUUGAGAAAGCAAACGUCUCGUGGUCUCUGAGCAGCCCAGCUUUUGAGAAAGCAAACGCCUCUUUCGAUUUUCUGAAGCUCCGUCGAGUGCAGAUUUUUAUAGAGGCCGGCAUUAAGUUCCAAAGCACACUUGAAUCUCCACCAGUAGAAGCUCCAUUCUUGCACUUCUAAGAUCUUGAUUUGUCCGACCUCUUCUCUCUUCAACACCUUUGAAAAUGUCUGGCCCCUCCCGACCGUCGUUUUGACUUGAACCUUGUUGAAGAGGCAGCCACGCCUUCUCCAGACAACAUAUGGCGCCCAUCCUUCGUCUCCCCUACUGGUCCUCUUACCGUUGGGGAUUCCGUGAUGAAGAAUGAUAUGACCGCUGCGGUAGGUGGCCAGGAACCUUCUCUCACUCCCAAAGAUAACAGACUACUUUCCAAACGGUCUGAUGAGUUGGCUGUUAAGGAUUCUCUGGCUCUCAGUGUUCAGUGUGCAGGUUCUGUGUCUAAUAUGGCCCAACGCCUAUUUGCUCGAACCCGCCAAGUUGAAUCAUUGGCGGCUGAAGUGAUGAGUCUCAAACAGGAGAUUAGAGGGCUCAAGCAUGAGAAUAAACAGUUGCACCGGCUCGCACAUGACUAUGCUACAAACAUGAAGAGGAAGCUUGACCAGAUGAAGGAAUCUGAUGGUCAGGUUUUACUUGAUCAUCAGAGAUUUGUGGGUUUGUUCCAAAGGCAUUUAUUGCCUUCGUCUUCUGGGGCUGUACCGCGUAAUGAAGCUCCAAAUGAUCAACCUCUGAUGCCUCCUCCUUCUAGGGUUCUGUCCAGUACUGAGGCUCCAAAUGAUCCCCCUCCGGUGCCUUCUCUUUCUGGGGCUCUACCGACUGCUGAGACUUCUCCUAAGCAACCUUUGUGAAGGCUCCCUCUUGUUUGUUUAUUUUGACUCAUGUAUAUGUACAUAUUUGUGAACUUAUCGGGGAUAUCAAUAAAUAAGCUUUCCUUCAUUUCAACGUAUUGUGUUAAAUACACCAAAGCCUUCUUCGCUAAGUUCUUUGAAAUUUUCUUUUGUUGAAGCUUGUAUGUUGAAGCUUUGUGAGUGGAGCAUGUAGGUUGAGGUAGUGUUCCCUUAAUUUCUCCGAGUGAGGAAAACUUCUCGGUUGGAGACUUGGAAAAUCCAAGUCACUGAGUGGGAUCGGCUAUAUGAAUCUUUGAACGCCAUUGUGCUCGGUCCUGUGUCAUGUCCUCCGUUAGAUCCAAGUACUCUAAGUCUUUUCUUAGAGUCUCUUCCAAAGUUUUCCUAGGUCUUCCUCUACCCCUUCGGCCCUGAACCUCUGUCCCAUAGUCGCAUCUUCUAAUCGGAGCGUCAGUAGGCCUUCUUUGCACAUGUCCAAACCACCGUAACCGAUUUUCUCUCAUCUUUCCUUCAAUUUCGGCUACUCCUACUUUACCCCGGAUAUCCUCAUUCCUAAUCUUAUCCUUUCUCGUGUGCCCACACAUCCAACGAAGCAUCCUCAUCUCCGCUACACCCAUUUUGUGUACGUGUUGAUGCUUCACCGCCCAACAUUCUGUGCCAUACAGCAUCGCCGGCCUUAUUGCCGUCCUAUAAAAAUUUUCCCUUGAGCUUCAGUGGCAUACGGCGGUCACACAACACGCCGGAUGCACUCUUCCACUUCAUCCAUCCAGCUUGUAUUCUAUGGUUGAGAUCUCCAUCUAAUUCUCCGUUCUUUUGCAAGAUAGAUCCUAGGUAACGAAAACGAUCGCUCUUUGGUAUUUCUUGAUCUCCGAUCCUCACCCCUAACUCGUUUUGGCCUCCAUUUGCACUGAACUUGCACUCCAUAUAUUCUGUCUUUGAUCGGCUUAGGCGAAGACCUUUAGAUUCCAACACUUCUCUCCAAAGGUUAAGCUUUGCAUUUACCCCUUCCUGAGUUUCAUCUAUCAACACUAUAUCGUCUGCGAAAAGCAUACACCAAGGAAUAUCAUCUUGAAUAUGUCCUGUUAACUCAUCCAUUACCAACGCAAAAAGGUAAGGACUUAAGGAUGAGCCUUGAUGUAAUCCUACAGUUAUGGGAAAGCUUUCGGUUUGUCCUUCAUGAGUUCUUACGGCAGUCUUUGCUCCUUCAUACAUAUCCUUUAUAGCUUGGAUAUAUGCUACUCGUACUCCUUUCUUCUCUAAAAUCCUCCAAAGAAUGUCUCUUGGGACCCUAUCAUACGCUUUUUCCAAAUCUAUAAAGACCAUGUGUAAAUCCUUUUUCCCAUCUCUAUAUCUUUCCAUCAAUCUUCGUAAGAGAUAGAUUGCCUCCAUGGUUGAGCGCCCUGGCAUGAACCCGAAUUGGUUGUCCGAAACCCGUGUCUCUUGCCUCAAUCUAUGCUCAAUGACUCUCUCCCAGAGCUUCAUUGUAUGACUCAUUAGCUUAAUACCCCUAUAGUUCAUGCAAUUUUGUACGUCGCCCUUAUUCUUGUAGAUAGGCACCAAAGUGCUCGUUCGCCACUCAUUUGGCAUCUUCUUCGUUUUCAAAAUCCUAUUGAAAAGGUCAGUGAGCCAUGUUAUACCUGUCUCUCCCAAAACUUUCCACACUUCGAUUGGUAUAUCGUCUGGGCCUACUGCUUUUCUAUGCUUCAUCUUCUUCAAAGCUACAACCACUUCUUCCUUCCGGAUUCGACGAUAAAAAGAGAGUAGUUUCUACACUCUUCUGAGUUACUCAACUCCCCUAAAGAAGCACUCCUUUCAUGUCCUUCAUUGAAAAGAUUAUGAAAAUAACCUCUCCAUCUGUCUUUAACCGCGUUCUCUGUAGCAAGAACCUUUCCAUCCUCAUCCUUGAUGCACCUCACUUGGUUUAGGUCCCUUGUCUUCUUUUCCCUUGCUCUAGCUAGUUUAUAGAUAUCCAACUCUCCUUCUUUGGUAUCUAGUCGCUUAUACAUAUCGUCAUAAGCCGCUAACUUAGCUUCUCUCACAGCUUUCUUCGCCUUUUACUUCGCUUUUCUAUACCUUUCACCAUUUUCAUCGGUCAUAUCCAGUAUAAGGCUUUACAACAUUCCUUCUUAGCCUUCACCUUUGUUUGUACCUCCUCAUUCCACCACCAAGAUUCCUUUUGGUGUGUGGCAAAGCCCUUGGACUCUCCUAAUACCUCUUUUGCUACUUUUCGGAUACAACUAGCCAUGGAAUCCCACAUUUGGCUAGCUUCCCCUCUCUAUCCCACACACACUGGGUGAUUACUUUCUCUUUGAAAAUGACUUGUUUUUCUUCUUUUAGAUUCCACCAUCUAGUCCUUGGGCACUUCCAAGUCUUGUUCUUUUUUCUCACUCUUUUGAUAUGUACAUCCAUCACCAACAAGCGAUGUUGAUUAGCCACGCUCUCUCCUGGUAUAACUUUGCAAUCCUUACAAGUUAUACAAUCCCCUUUCCUCAUUAGAAGAAAAUCUAUUUGUGUUUUUGACGACCCACUCUUGUAGGUGAUCACAUGUUCUUCUCUCUUCUUAAAGAAGGUGUUGGCUAAGAAGAGAUCAUAUGCCAUUGCAAAAUCCAAGAUAGCUUCCCCAUCCUCGUUUCUCUCCCCAAAACCAUGGCCACCAUGAAAACCUCCAUAGUUGCUUGUCUCCCUGCCCACGUGUCCAUUUAAAUCUCCUCCUAUAAAUAACUUCUCCGUCUGAGCAAUUCCUUGCACCAAGUCUCCAAGGUCUUCCCAAAAUUUCUCCUUCGAACUCUUAUCCAACCCUACUUGAGGUGCGUACGCACUAAUCACAUUGAUAAGUUCUUGUCCUAUUACAAUCUUGAUUGCCAUGAUUCUAUCUCCUACCCUCUUGACAUCUACAACAUCUUGUGUCAAGGUCUUGUCCACGAUGAUGCCAACACCGUUUCUUGUUCUAUUUGUGCCCGAGUACCAAAGUUUAAACCCUGAGUUUUCUAGAUCCUUUGCCUUAAGACCAACCCACUUAGUUUCUUGUAGGCACAUAAUAUUUAUCCUUCUCCUCACCAUAACUUCCACUACUUCCAUAGAUUUUCCCGUUAAGGUUCCUAUAUUCCACGUUACUAAACGCAUUCUACUCUCCUGAACUCUACCCUUCUGUCCUAGCUUCUUCACCCUCCCCCGUCCAAUAGGAAUCAAAGUACUUCUUUUGUGUGUCCCGUGUAAAGUUGAUAGGUGCAUAUGCUCCCAAACAACUUUGAGUGGAGUCGUUCGAAAAGAAGUUUCUAUGGCCCCCUUGCUCAUUUAAUACUGCAUCCGAGUGCCUAUGGAGAUACAGCGACCUUUGCUCACUUAUCACUGUGCUCGGGCCACACAGCGCGCCACUUACGGGUGACGCCCUAGCUUUGGCGCGAUUUCGUUCUGAAUUCAUUUUCAUAAGGAUUCGACGUAACUGUGGAGUGCCGGCUGUCGACUACCUGACGCCCUCCCCCUCCUCCUUUACCUGGGCUUGGGACCGGCAAUGUAAGAUAAACUUACAUAGGCGGAGUUUUGGUACUAAACUACUAAUUGAUGAAAAACAUAUUAGCGAACGGGGUACCUUCGAUCUUCAUACGUUGGCUUUUCUUGGUCUUUUCGUGAUCAAGACACUAGGCGGUAGAUAGGGUACGUUGUUUGCUUCUCUUGUCUCAUUUGGUUUUGUAUUCUGUUUGUUUCUUUCAUUUGUAAUCGGAACAUGACAGAGCAAACCAAAAUGUUCCAGCUAAUAAUCACUUUGUAGCUUGCCUUGUUAUCUCAACACCCAAUGUCAUGGAAACUCCAGAAAGGUUUAGUAUAUUUUGUCAUUUGUAAUCUAAACUUUGAUACUCUUUGGUGACGUCAUCGGAGCGUGUAAGAUUUCUCUCCGUUCUCUUCCUUGUUCUAGUGUAAUCUAUCUCCUCAUAAUGUCAAAUCAAGCAUUUGGUGCCAUCAUUGGAGCGUGUAAGAUUUCUCUCCGUUCUCUUCCUUUCGGUCUUGGUUUGUUAGUUGUUUGUAUUUUCGUUCAGGAGAAAUAAUAGUGAUUUGUUACUGGUGUUCUAUUGACAGGUAUUGGUGUUGUGCUCUUGGGUAAGAUCUCAUCUCUCUCUCUCUCUCUCUCUCUCUCAUCCCUUCAUUCCCAUGCUUUCCCAUUCUGAUCGUAUUGUCAAUUUGAUUCGUUCUUACUGCUAUUCCUUUCUGUUUUGAUUCUAAGUAGCAUGUUGUGAAUUCAUACAUUUUGCAGUAAUCAUUGUCAUCAUUGUUGUGAAGGUCAACAUCUUUGUUGUAGCAUACAAAGAAAAUAAGAAAGGAAGUAGAAGUCCCGUUAAUAUGGAAAGAGCGAAAACCAUCAGGUUUGAUGCUCAACAACUUCAGACUACAGCAAAUAAUUUUACCAACUUGUUAGGUUCGGGAGGUUUUGGUGCAGUUUAUAAAGGGAUAUGUGGCAAUGGAGUCCUUGUGGCUGUGAAGGUUCUAAAUGGGAGCUCGGACAAGAGAAUUGAGGAACAACUCAAGGCGAAGUUAUAACUGUUGGAAAAAUUCAUCGGGUCAAUCUGGUCCGUCUUUAUGGUUACUGCUUUGAGAGAAACCUCAGAGCACUGGUUUAUGAGUAUAUGGAAAAUGGCUUGCUUGACAAGCUCUUAUUCGAUAGCAACGAGGCUUUAAUAUUUAAAAAGCUUAAUGAAAUUUCGGUUGGGACAGCCAGAGGCAUUGCGUACUUGCAUGAAGAAUGCCAACAACGCAUAAUCCAUUAUGAUAUAAAACCUGGAAUUGUUCUUUUGGAUCAAAAUUUCCUUCCUAGAGUUGCCGAUUUUGGUUUGGCCAAGGUAAGUAACAGGGACAAUACUCAUAUAUCGAUGACAGGAGGGAGGGGGGACUCCUGGUUAAGCUGCACUGGAACUUUGGCUGCAAUUCUCUGUAACUCCCAAAUGUGACGUCUACAGCUUUGGGAUGCUAUUGUUUGAGAUCAUUGGUAGGAGAAAGAACCAUGACAUCAAUCUUCCUGAUAGCCAAGAGUGGUUCCCAGGUUUGGUGUGGAAGAAGUUUGAAUCCAAAGAGCUAGGAGAGUUAAUGGUAGCUUGUGGGAUAGAUGAAAAAGAUAAAGAGAUAGCAGAGAGAAUGGUAAACGUAGCUCUGUGGUGUACUCAGUAUAGGCCGGAGUCGAGGCCUUCGAUGAGCGGUGUGGUAAAAGUGUUGGAAGGAGAUAUUGAGAUUCCCAGACCUACAACUAACCCUUUUCAGCACUUUGAUUCCAGGCAAUCCAUACCCUAAUGCACCUAUCUACAAUUCUUCAGUUGCAACAAAUAGUACUUGAGCUUUGGAUUCAGAGUUAUCCCAUACUGUAACUGGAUAUAGCGGUGUGUGCGCUACUCCUCUCAUGAGGAAAUAUGAGCUGGAAAUAGCGUCUACCUAGGUAAGCCGAUGUAAAUCCCUCAUGGUCUCUCUCUCUCUCUCUCUCUCUCUCUCUCUCUCUAUAUAUAUAUAUAUAUAUGUAUAUAUUGUGAAGGGUCAUAUAUCUGGAAUUGUGAACAAUAAUUAAUACUAGUGUGCCAACUUUUUGUUUGAUUAAAAUACAGUUACUCUAUUCUUUCUACAAGGAGCUGC